rnacentral:rRNA from 1 species
AUUUUCUGCCACCGAAUACAUUAGCAUGGGAUAAUGGAAUAGGACCCUGUCCUCCUAUUUUCAGUUGGUUUUGGCACGCGAGGACCAGGGUAAUGAUUAAUAGGGAUAGUUGGGGGCAUUAAUAUUUAAUUGUCAGAGGUGAAAUUCUUGGAUUUAUGAAAGAUUAACUUCUGCGAAAGCAUCUGCCAAGGAUGUUUUCAUUAAUCAAGAACGAAAGUUAGGGGAUCGAAGACGAUCAGAUACCGUCGUAGUCUUAACCAUAAACGAUGCCGACCAGCGAUUAGGAGACGUUGAAUACAAAACACCACCAUCGGUGCGGUCGUCCUUGGCGCGUCGCGGCUUGCCGUGGCGUGCAUUUUCUGCCACCGAAUACAUUAGCAUGGGAUAAUGGAAUAGGACCCUGUCCUCCUAUUUUCAGUUGGUUUUGGCACGCGAGGACCAGGGUAAUGAUUAAUAGGGAUAGUUGGGGGCAUUAAUAUUUAAUUGUCAGAGGUGAAAUUCUUGGAUUUAUGAAAGAUUAACUUCUGCGAAAGCAUCUGCCAAGGAUGUUUUCAUUAAUCAAGAACGAAAGUUAGGGGAUCGAAGACGAUCAGAUACCGUCGUAGUCUUAACCAUAAACGAUGCCGACCAGCGAUUAGGAGACGUUGAAUACAAAACACCACCAUCGGUGCGGUCGUCCUUGGCGCGUCGCGGCUUGCCGUGGCGUGC